rnacentral:rRNA from 1 species
UACAGAGGUCUCAAGCGUUGUUCGGAUUCAUUGGGCGUAAAGGGUGCGUAGGUGGCGGGGUAAGUCAGGUGUGAAAUCUCGAGGCUCAACCUCGAAACUGCACUUGAUACUGCCUUGCUCGAGUACUGGAGAGGAGAUUGGAAUUUACGGUGUAGCAGUGAAAUGCGUAGAUAUCGUAAGGAAGACCAGUGGCGAAGGCGAAUCUCUGGACAGUUACUGACACUGAGGCACGGAGGCCAGGGGAGCAAACGGG